UACGUAGGGGGCAAGCGUUGUCCGGAUUUAUUGGGCGUAAAGAGCGUGUAGGCGGCCAGACAGGUCCGUUGUGAAAACUCGAGGCUCAACCUCGAGACGCCGAUGGAAACCGUCUGGCUAGAGUCCGGAAGAGGAGAGUGGAAUUCCUGGUGUAGCGGUGAAAUGCGCAGAUAUCAGGAGGAACACCAGUGGCGAAGGCGGUGCUCUGGGCCGGUACUGACGCUGAGGAGCGAAAGCGUGGGUAGCAAACAGG
rnacentral:rRNA from 1 species